AGAGUUUGAUCCUGGCUCAGGAUUAACGCUGGCGGUAUGUAUAAUACAUGCAAGUCGAGCGCUCACUUCGGUGAGAGCGGCGAACGGGUGAGUAACACGUUGGUAGCUGCCCCACACUCAGGGAUAACCCACAGAAAUGUGGACUAAUACCGGAUGGCCCCGCAAGGGUAAAGCUUUUGCGGUGUGGGAGGCGCCUGCGGCCUAUCAGCUUGUUGGUAAGGUAACGGCUUACCAAGGCUUUGACGGGUAGCUGGUCUGAGAGGAUGACCAGUCACAAUGGGACUGAGACACGGCCCAUACUCCUACGGGAGGCAGCAGUAAAGAAUCUUCCGCAAUGGGGGAAACCCUGACGGAGCAAUACCGCGUGGAUGAUGAAGGUCGAAAGAUCGUAAAGUCCUUUUCUGGAGGAAGAAUUUUGACGGUACUCCAGGAAUAAGCACCGGCUAACUCCGUGCCAGCAGCCGCGGUAAUACGGAGGGUGCAAGCGUUGUCCGGAAUUAUUGGGCGUAAAGCGUCCGCAGGCGGUCUGUUAAGUCGAAUAUUAAAUCUUGAAGCCCAACUUUGAGGCUGUAUUCGAAACUGGUAGACUAGAGAACUUCAGAGGUACGUGGAAUUCUGUGUGUAGGGGUUAAAUCCGUAGAUACACAGAGGAACACCAAAAGCGAAGGCAGCGUACUGGGGAGUUUCUGACGCUCAUGGACGAAAGCGUAGGUAGCGAACGGGAUUAGAUACCCCGGUAGUCUACGCCGUAAACGAUGGAUACUAGGUGUUGGAUGGUUCGACCCAUUCAGUGCCGAAGCUAACGCAUUAAGUAUCCCGCCUGUGGAGUACGAGCGCAAGCUUAAAACAUAAAGGAAUAGACGGGGACCCACACAAGCGGUGGAGCAUCUGGUUUAAUUCGACAAUAAGCGAGGAACCUUACCUGGGUUUGACAUCCCGAGAAUUUGCUGGAAACAGUGAAGUGCCUUAUGGAACUCGGUGACAGGUGCUGCAUGGUUGUCGUCAGCUCGUGCCUUGAGGUGUUCGGUUAAGUCCGUAAACGAGCGCAACCCAUGUUCUGUGUUGUAUUUUUCACAGGAGACUGCCGAUUCAAAGUCGGAGGAAGGUAUGGAUGACGUCAAAUCAGCAUGGCCCUUAUACCCAGGGCUACACAGGUGCUACAAUGGCUAGUACAGAGGGGAGCAAUAUCGUAAGAUGGAGCAAAUCCUUAAAGCUAGUCUUAGUUCGAAUUGAGAGCUGCAACUCGCUCUCAUGAAGUUGGAAUCGCUAGUAACCGCGAAUCAGCAAUGUCGCGGUGAAUAUGUUCCUGGGUCUUGUACUCACCGCCCGUCAUGCUACGAAAGGUGGAGGCACCCGAAGUACCCUUAGCUUUAGGCGGGGUCCUAAGGUGAAGCCACUGAUUGGAGUAAAGUCGUAACAAGGUA
rnacentral:rRNA from 1 species